rnacentral:rRNA from 1 species
CCAGUAGAACUUUCCAGAGAUGGAUUGGUGCCUUCGGGAACUCUGAGACAGGUGCUGCAUGGCUGUCGUCAGCUCGUGUUGUGAAAUGUUGGGUUAAGUCCCGCAACGAGCGCAACCCUUAUCCUUUGUUGCCAGCGGUUAGGCCGGGAACUCAAAGGAGACUGCCAGUGAUAAACUGGAGGAAGGUGGGGAUGACGUCAAGUCAUCAUGGCCCUUACGAGUAGGGCUACACACGUGCUACAAUGGCGCAUACAAAGAGAAGCGACCUCGCGAGAGCAAGCGGACCUCAUAAAGUGCGUCGUAGUCCGGAUUGGAGUCUGCAACUCGACUCCAUGAAGUCGGAAUCGCUAGUAAUCGUAGAUCAGAAUGCUACGGUGAAUACGUUCCCGGGCCUUGUACACACCGCCCGUCACACCAUGGGAGUGGGUUGCAAAAGAAGUAGGUAGCUUAACCUUCGGGAGGGCGCUUACCACUUUGUGAUUCAUGACUGGGGUGAAGUCGUAACAAGGUAAGCGUAGUGCU